AUGGAAAACAAUCCUUUGAGGGGUUUGUUCGGAGUAUCUUCACCUCCUCCGAAAUCACAAUUAGCAACCCCUCAACCUACUGCACCUACCAAAAAUAUUGAAUAUGAAAUUCCUUCGGGUAUGAUAGAACAACUACUAGCUAAUCCUUAUGCGGGAGUUGGAACCGAACAUUCUAAUAUGCACUUGAUAUAUGUAGAACAAAUUUGUGGAUUGUUUAAGCUUGCAGGUUUACCCGGAGAUAAAGUUAUGAAGAAGGUUUUCCCUUUAUCUCUGAAGGGCAAAGCAUUGGCAUGGUAUAGGCUAUGCGAUGAUAUUGGAUCAUGA
rnacentral:rRNA from 1 species